rnacentral:rRNA from 1 species
CCUACGGGAGGCAGCAGUGAGGAAUAUUGGUCAAUGGGCGCGAGCCUGAACCAGCCAAGUCGCGUGAGGGAUGACUGCCCUACGGGUUGUAAACCUCUUUUGCCGGGGAGCAACGGGCGCCACGUGUGGCGCCACUGAGAGUACCUGGAGAAAAAGCAUCGGCUAACUCCGUGCCAGCAGCCGCGGUAAUACGGGGGAUGCGAGCGUUAUCCGGAUUUAUUGGGUUUAAAGGGUGCGUAGGCGGAUCGUUAAGUCAGUGGGAAAAGUGAGGGGCUCAACCCCUUCCCGCCAUUGAAACUGGCGGUCUGGAGUGGGAGAGAAGUAUGCGGAAUGCGUGGUGUAGCGGUGAAAUGCAUAGAUAUCACGCAGAACCCCGAUUGCGAAGGCAGCAUGCCGGCUUCCGACUGACGCUGAAGCACGAAAGCGUGGGGAUCGAACAGGAUUAGAUACCCGAGUAGUC